UGGGGAAUAUUGCACAAUGGGCGCAAGCCUGAUGCAGCCAUGCCGCGUGUGUGAAGAAGGCCUUCGGGUUGUAAAGUACUUUCAGCGGGGAGGAAGGGAGUAAAGUUAAUACCUUUGCUCAUUGACGUUACCCGCAGAAGAAGCACCGGCUAACUCCGUGCCAGCAGCCGCGGUAAUACGGAGGGUGCAAGCGUUAAUCGGAAUUACCGGGCGUAAAGCGCACGCAGGCGGUUUGUUAAGUCAGAGGUGAAAUCCCCGGGCUCAACCUGGGAACUGCGUCUGAUACUGGCAAGCUUGAGUCUCGUAGAGGGGGGUAGAAUUCCAGGUGUAGCGGUGAAAUGCGUAGAGAUCUGGAGGAAUACCGGUGGCGAAGGCGGCCCCCUGGACGAAGACUGACGCUCAGGUGCGAAAGCGUGGGGAGCAAACAGG
rnacentral:rRNA from 1 species